UGCAGAGGUCUCAAGCGUUGUUCGGAUUCAUUGGGCGUAAAGGGUGCGUAGGCGGCGCCGUAAGUCGGGUGUGAAAUCUCGGGGCUUAACUCCGAAACUGCAUUCGAUACUGCGGUGCUUGAGGACUGGAGAGGAGACUGGAAUUCAUGGUGUAGCAGUGAAAUGCGUAGAGAUCAUGAGGAAGACCAGUGGCGAAGGCGGGUCUCUGGACAGUUCCUGACACUGAGACACGAAGGCCAGGGGAGCAAACGGG
rnacentral:rRNA from 1 species